rnacentral:rRNA from 1 species
GACGAACGCUGGCGGCGUGCUUAACACAUGCAAGUCGAACGGAAAGGCCCUGCCUUGGUGGGGUGCGCGAGGGGCGAACGGGUGAGUAACACGUGAGUAACCUGUCCCUGACUUUGGGAUAACUUCAUGAAACUGGGGCUAAUAGCGGAUAGGAGCUCCUGCUGCAUGGUGGGGGUGGGAAAGUUUCGGCGGUUGGGGAUGGACUCGCGGCUCAUCAGCUUGUUGGAGGGGUAGUGGGUUAGCAAGGCUUUGACGGGUGGCCGGCCUGGGCGGGUGAGCGGCCCCGCUGGACUUGAGCUGCGACCCGGCCUCCUCCGGGACGCAGCGCUGCGGUAUGUUGCACUGUGGGCGGAGCCAUGGUCCAGCCCCGCCGCGCGGCGGAUGACGGCCUUCGGUUUGUAUUCCAAAUUCGCCUGUCACGAAGCGUGAGUGACGGUACUGGGUAAAGAAGCACCGGCUAACUCCGUG